AACGAACGUUAGCGGCGCGCUUAACACAUGCAAGUCGAGCGAGAAAGGGCUUCGGCCCCGGUAAAGCGGCGCACGGGUGAGUAACACGUGGGUAAUCUGCCCUCGAGUGGUGGAUAACUC
rnacentral:rRNA from 1 species